GAGAGAGAGAGAGAGAGAGAGAAGAGAUGAGAACGAUCGAUUCGUAUCAUUAUCAUUAUUAUUAUUAUAAUUUUCGCAGAGAUGUUGGUAACAAGUACACUGGCAAUGAAGCGCACGCAUGUGGAGGCAAACGUGUAAACUCUCCUCACGUUCUCCGUGUGUCCCUGCUUUGCGAAAAUCUCUCUCGCUUCGUUCCCCCCUCCCCGCAAAACGAAAAAAGAAAAAAAAAAAAGUAAGAAAACUGAAGGAUCAUGCGAAACGAAGCGUCUCCUCCGUAUUAUCGAAAGUGCAGCAUUGACAAUCGAAGUAAACCAAGUUUCUUUAUUGAAAAGAGUCAAUGGACAUAGACGAACAAAACGAGAAUUUUAUAAAGCUUAAGGAAACAAACCCGAAGUGCAUUAUAUAUUACAAAGAAGUAAAAGAAAAACAGAAAAAAAAAAAAACCGAAAAAGAAAAAAAAAAAAGGGAAACACGUUGUUACACUCUUGGUUUCUCCACUCUUUUGUGUCUCGCAGCGUUCAACACACGAUCGAUGAUUGAUGAUUGCCCCCACCCUCGCGAAGGGGGUGCGCGCUCUGACAAAGCCCCCCACCCCACCAGCCCCCCUCAUCUAAGUAAAGAAGCUAUAUUCUCUAACUUGUUCUCAUGUUUUUUUCUUGUACAUAACGAACGUACGCAUUUUUUAAGCCCGCGUGCGAGAUAUACAUGCAUGUACAUAUAUGUCUCUCGAGAAUCGAUUUUCAACGAUUUUCAACGCGCGAAAUAUUCGAACUAACGAGAAUAACUCGCGUGGAAUAGUAAAAAAAAAAAACCUCGUGUCCAACACGAUGCAUCUUACCCUCGAUAAAGCGUUUUACUGAAUUUAAACUGGUUAAGUUGAACGAAAAGAAACAGUUCAUUCAACUGCACACAGUCGCGCCAAAUCGGAACGACAAUUUUUCCAAGUUACGCUAAACGAUGAUCACGCAAACACUGGUUUGACAAUUCAAUGAACAACGCUCGAAACACUAUGGAUGGAUUAUUGUAUAUCCACCGUAAAUAUAUAUACCGCAUGGUAUGCACA